CUGGAGUGUGGGGUCCCUCUGUGGCUACAGGGCGGGAUGGUGGGAGGAGGCGUGGCCUGCGGACUAGGGGCAGGGCCCGUUGGGAGGCGGGGCUGCGAGCGGAAGGCGGGGCCCCAACGAGGCCGCCUAGAACCUGCACGCGGAUCUUCAGGAAUUCCUGAAGCAGGGCUCUUUGCACCUUCUGCGCGCGCGCUUGUGUGUCUGUCCGUGUCCCCGUCUUGCCCAGAAGGGCUCAGUAGGCUGUGGGGGCCUUUUUUUGGAGGAGGCGUGGGGUGGCUGAGUUCUGCCACGAUGAAAGUCAAGGUCAUUCCUGUGCUUGAGGAUAACUACAUGUACCUGGUCAUCGAGGAGGACACGCGAGAGGCUGUGGCUGUGGAUGUGGCGGUGCCCAAGAGGCUGCUGGAGAUCGCAGGCCGAGAGGGAGUGUCUUUGACCACGGUGCUAACCACCCACCACCACUGGGACCACGCUCGGGGCAAUGUGGAGCUGGCGCGUCUACAACCGGGGAUGGUGGUGAUGGGCGGGGACAAACGCAUCUGUGGGCUGACCCGCAUGCUGGUACAUGAGGAGGAACUACGGGUGAGUACUGAGUAUGCCACAUGGGAAAUGCGGGAAGGGACGACCCACCCCCGACCCGCCCUCACAGGUCCGCUUGCCCCUCUGCAGUUUGGGGCCAUCCAUGUGCGCUGCCUCCUGACGCCUGGCCAUACCUCUGGCCACAUGAGCUACUUCCUUUGGGAGGAUGAAAGCCUGGACCCGCCUGCCCUCUUCUCGGGGGACGCACUGUCCGUGGCUGGCUGUGGCUGGCACUUGGAAGGCACUGCCCAGCAGAUGUACCAGAGUCUGACAGAGACCCUUGGCACCCUGCCCCCACAGACGAAGGUGUUCUGUGGCCACGAGCACACACUGUGCAACCUGGAGUUUGCACACACAGUGGAGCCCCACAAUGACCACGUGAGAGCCAAACUGUCUUGGGCCCAGAAAAGAGAUGAGGACGAUGUGCCCACUGUGCCAUCCACCCUGGGCGAGGAGCUGCUGUACAACCCCUUCCUGAGGGUGGCAGAAGAGGCGGUACGCAAGUUCACAGGCAAAGUGGCCCCAGCCGAGGUCCUGGAGGUGCUGUGCAGGGAGCGGGCUUGCUUCCAGCAGGCUGUGGAGCCACCACAGCCACAGGCCCGGGCACUCCUUGCACUGCAGUGGGGGCUCUUGGGCCACCAGAAGUGAGCCACCCAGGGCCCACUCAACUCCAUGUUGCUCCUCCCACGACUCUCAGUCUGCCUGGACCCACACAAGGGUGGCCUCUGUGGACCUGCCUGGCUGUAUGCCCAGCCUUCGAGGAUCAGCAAGUGGUACUCUCCUCCACUGCUCCUGGAGGUAGACCUGCAGGACCUCUGUGCAGCCACACACCUGUCUGUGCCUGAGCAGUCCUGCCUGGGUUCUGCUCAGUGAAUAAAUCUCUGAGAGGCCCUUUGGGGCACAGACGCUCCAAGACAGCAGUGAUUCCAGACAUGCUGGGCAUGUCCUUUAUCAGAGGUGAAACUGGGUCAGAGACGGGCCUGGCAGGAACCCAGCCAUGGCGGCAUGAUGGCCAGGGAAGACUUGUGCAGGGAUGCAGCCUAAGAUACAGAGCUGACCUUAGGCCCACAACUCUGUAACCCUAGUUUCAGGAGUCCAGAUGUCCUUUCCUGCAGCAGUCCCCAUACUUGACACUACUAGUCGUCACCUGCCCCCUGCCCUGUGGCUUCCAGGUGAUUCCAGACUUCAGGGAUGGCACCUGCAGGAACUCCGGAGCCCCUCACUAUAGAGCCACCAUGGCCAGGAAAGGCAAUGUCCAUAGAAGGGCCAGUGGAAGAGAGUCCCAAACCUCAGAGAAUCUUCAGCCUCGUCUUCCACCCCUCACCCUACCUGCAAAGCCAGUACAGAGCCCGGGGUGUGCAGGCACAGGUCACAUUUCCAGACCACGAAAUCCUGUGUGUAUCUGGAACCCACUUUAACAUGGGCUCUAACACACUGUGCAUCUCCUUUUGUUUCUGGGAGAGCCCUGGGGUCUGAGGUGAGAGGCUGUGCUGCUGGGCGCUGGCCCCAGCAGACCUCGAGGCCUCCUACCACCUGAUGCUCAGGCCCGAGCUGGGCUUCUCUAUGGCAUGGUACUGGGUGUGCAGCAGGCGGCUGGCCCGCUCUGAGCUCUCACCCUGCAGCCACUGCUGGUACAGCUCCUGGACCCCAGGCACAUCCUCAGGUGUCUCCAUCCUGACCAUGCUAUACAGGCUCUCCACCUGCUGGAGAAGGUCUUUGCUGGACAUGUCCAGGGCCUUGAGUUGGCCUCCACCAUUCAGGCAUCCUGUGCAGAACAGGUUAUGGUCACAAGAGUGUCAGGUGGGGUCAAAGUGCACACCCUCUCCCCACUCACCUCCUCCAGCGCUGGAGGGGUGCUGCCAACUCCAUCCCAGCAGCCCCCGCCCCUGCCAUCUCCUGCCGGGAGGUGCACCUGAGGGGCAGGCCAUGACCUCCACAUAAUGGUAGGGGCAGCGGCCUCGCUUGAGCUUCUGGACCAGGUUCUGGAUGUUGCGGAAGCCAUAGGCAGUGGCAAAGUGUAGCAGCACCUGGCCCUCCCUCUCCAGGGUCACCUCCUGGAAGUCCCUGUUCCUGAGGAUGGGAGAGACUAUAUGCACCACCAACACCAGGCUCCUGUACACACACAGGGACCCUGCUGGGAUAGGGGAACUCAGCACUUCCACCCCCUGCUCCUGGGCAGGGGAGGGAGGGUAGAACGAGUGGAGUGCUCCCUCCAACCAGAAGUCCAACAGGUGACCUUAACCUCUCCCAGGUCUGUCUCCUCACCUGUGAAAUGCGAGUCCCCUUUCCUAAGGCUGGUCUUGAGGCAUGGCAAGGGAGGACCUAGCCUUGCCCUCCCUCCCAGAUGCAGGUGUCACUGGUAUCCACCUGUCCUGAGGACAGCGGCCUUGGGCUCAGGAUCUUUGCUAAGGGGGAAACUGAGGCCCCCACUUGUGCCCAGUGCUCCAGGGUCUACCACCAAGCCCACCAAGAGGACCCAGGGCUGGGGAGGCACCAGUCUAGGAGCUUUAUGGCUAUCCUGUCCUGGUGCCCCAGGCCACCCCACUGACCUCAAAGGCCUGUAGGUGACCUCAUCCACAUGGACUCCAAAGAGCUCUCUUGCUGCAUGCCGGAACACAUGCUCCAGGUAGCCCCCUGAGCCCCCACCCCGGUGGCUGAUGGGCUCCUCAGCAGAUGUGCUGCUGGACCUGUGGAAGGGGCAGGUCAGUGUGGGUGAGGACAGCAGGGCCUCAGCACAGCUGUGUUCAAGCUUUUCUAGGUGGGAAACAAGUCCUGGGCACAAAGGAACGUCUUGGAAUGACCCCAGGGCCCCUGGUGUGUCUGACACUGUCCCGGGGAGCUCAGGCCUCUCCAAGUUGGGCUGUGCCUCUCAGGCCUGGGGCAGGCCAUGGGAGGGAAGGAGAGGCACUGCCCACCCCACGGCAGCCUGGUUCCCUCUGCUGACUUACAGGCCAUCCAGAGGGGCUGGCUCCAGCUCUGAGAGCGAGACCCCCUCCUCUUCCAGCAGCUCGAGGACUUCUCCUGUGUGGGACCACAGCACGGGUGCUCCAACCGCUCGAACCUCAAGCUGCCCGCAUGCCUGGCAGCUGCAUCUUGGCCCCAGCAGGCCCACAUAUUCACCCAGCCAGUGGUGGGAAAGGAUGACCCCUCUAAAGACCCUCAUGGCUGCCUCAUUCCCUCAGGGUGGCAUAAGGUGAACCAGGUAACUGUGCUGGUCUAGUGCUGUCUGCCCAGCUUCCUGGGCAGUUCAUUUUCCCGUCUUGCUAGUACUUGAGAGACUCUGAGACUUCUCAACUCAGCAAUGGGGAGCACAUGUGAGUCAGAAGGCUGAACUGGAGCCUUUCCACAACCCCCAGACCCACUCAAGCCAACAAGGAACUCCAGGCCCAAGGGCUGCAGGUGUCCCAGAGGGGUCAGCUGAGAAUGCCCUGCCUCCUGGGUGAGGACAAUACCUGUAGUGAGGACGCAGUCCACAUCUCGAGCCUGGUGCUCCUGGCUAUAGAAGUCGGGCCUGGAGGCCUCCAGCUUUUUGUCGUAGCAGGGCAUCACUGUGACAUGGUACACCUUGUCGGGGGCCAGGCGCUACAGGAGGAGAGAAACUUGGUCCCACCUGACUACAGCUCGCUCUGUGACAAGCGAGGUGAGAGGUGGCCAUGCAGCUGGCCUUGAACAGCCCUUCAGGCUGGCACUGCUUCCCAGCAGCCUCCUCACUGAUGCCGUGGCCCUGCAGUGGACGCCAGAGGUCCUGCAGCACCCAGCUCCAACAGAGGAAGAGGCCUCAGCCUUCAUGGUUCUGGGGUCAACAGAAAAAGCAGGUUGUGGUGCAGGAGAUCUGAGGGCCAGGAACCUGACUUGGCACCAGAGCACUUGCCUAGCAUGCAUGAGGCCUGGGUUUCGAUUCCAGCACCACACACAGACUUCAAGGAAGCCUGUGUCCGUGCAGAAGCAGCACAGCACAGGACUAAGGUCAGAAGAAGUGUAGGCUCCCCGCCUCCUGUGGGCCAGUGGCACCAGUUUGGAGUCCUCAUGGCUCAGCAGGUGCCCUUGUUUACCCAGCAGCCUGUGGAGGUCACCUGAUUGCAGCCUGGCUUAGGCCUCUUGCUCCCGAGGGGCUGGGCCACCUCUAGGUGAGUGAAGAGCACCUUCAUAGGCAGCUGCCAUUAAUGCUUAUGACCCCAAAUGCCUCCAGAGGGUACAUGGCCACAGCCACAGUGACUGGAGCCAGGGCCACCAAUGCCAGGGUCACAGCUGCCACUCUCCAGCGUGCUGCCCUACACGACCUAAGGCUGUUACCUGCUGUUGGGCGAAGAAGUCCUUGACCAGGGAGCCCAUGACCUGCUGUGGGGACCGGGCCGUGCUGAUGUAGGGGAGGAUGAAGCUGCCAUGGGUCUUCUCAGCAUAGCAGAUCCAGCCUGUGCCGGCAGAACCAACAGGAGUACCAGCCUCCAGGCCACAGAAGGGGAGAGACUGCAGGCAUUUUCCUGAUGGGGCGCCUCCUCCAAGAGGCCUGAGGUACUGACUGGUCCAAGAGCUCUGCCUCCCCACCUGCUCUCCAGGUCCUGAGCCUUGCUGCUGGUAUGGUCAGCUUUUAACCACAUGAUUUGGAACCUUGCCACCUGCACAACCAUGAACACACCUGGGCAGGCAGAAGCCAGCACAGGCAAGGCCACUCUGGAGUUGGCUCGAUCUCGGAAUCGCCGCACGAACUCUCGCUGGCUCUCAAGGAGGCUCAAGUUCCUUGAGAAGGCAGUGUCGAAGACGAAGUGCGCCCCUGGAAAAAAGGCACAAGCUUGACCCCCACCACAGCUGGCACCAGCCAUGGGUGACCCUUCUGGUGCUGGCCACAGCAGGGGCAGCACUGUUCACAUCCCCAAAAAUAGGGCACUGCCCCCAGCGGCACCAGUUGCUUCUACUGCAGCCCCAGGAAGCACGGAACAGCCUGUGCCAUUGGGAUAAGCCAGGUGCUGCCUGGGGCCAGGGGACAACUUCCUGUGAUGCAACUCCCACUGCAGUGAACUCCUGUUUAUUUAUUUAUUUUUUUGUACUGGGGAUUGAACCCAGGGGUGCUUAGCCACUGAGUAACAUCACCACCCUUUUUAUUUUUCAUUUUGAGACAAGGUCUCACUAAGUUACUCAAGACCUCACUAAGUUGCUGGGGCUGGCCUUGAACCUGUGAUCCUCCUGCUUCAGCCUCCCUAGCUGCUGGGAUUACAGGCGUGUGCCACCAUACCUGGUUCCUGUUUGAUUUCUUUUUUUUUAAAUAUUUUUUAGUUUUCGGCGGACACAUCUUUUUUUUUU